GCAGCUCCCUGCUCCCACUCCUCCUCUCCCAGGGCUGGCAGCGUCGGGGCUCUGAGGACAGCGGAGGAUGCUCAGGUUCUGCUGAACCAUCAUAUUGUUGUGCAGUCUGAAGGCCCGAGCCUGCUGCACUGCUGACCGCUGACCACAUUUCAGCUUUGAAGGAGAUAAGUCAGAACUUCCUGAGCUUACUUCAUUCCACUGAAUGGGCAAGUCACUCUUAUUUGCCUCGGGACCUGCCUGCUGACUGCUCGGUGGA